CUCCGUCGCUGUUGCGUGGCUUGCCCCGCGGAGCGGGCAGGGGACCCGCCGACGCUGACGUUAUGCCGAACACGCAUUUAAUCUCUCGUCCGCAUGGAACUACGCCGAUCAACCCGCUCGAUGCUCCCGAUCAAACCCUGAUUCCUCCAUUCAAACGACGGAAGAGAGUGUCCGCGUUGGGUGGUCUCCUUGAGUUUCGCUUGUUUGCUGGCGACUGGACGCCAGUCGGGUCCUCGAUUAUUUCCCUUGAUGCGGCUGCGAUGGGAGCAGAGCAUAGCAAUCAGGGACGCCGCCCACACUUUCCAUGAAAAAAGAUGCAGAAGGUCGUACACUGAUGCGGUUGGAGACGGGUGGCGUGUCCCAGACUAGCAACGGAUGGCUGGAGUGAUUGUGAUCUUACCACAAUAAAAUUGAGGUUUAUCAAGUGUUGAGUGAAACAGGUGAGCGCUGAGCAUGGUCAGCUCCUGGCGUCGUGAACUCUCAUCCUCGGGACGGCCCCUGAAUCCGGCGAGACGUCCAUGGGAAGCCCCUGCUCCUCGGCGUUCAGAUGGAGAUCCCAUCCACCGCAGUUCUUCAA
rnacentral:lncRNA from 1 species